GGUUAAGCGACUAAGCGUACACGGUGGAUGCCCUGGCAGUCAGAGGCGAUGAAGGGCGUGCUAAUCUGCGAUAAGCGCCGGUAAGGUGAUAUGAACCGUUAUAACCGGCGAUACCCGAAUGGGGAAACCCAGUGUGACUCGUCACACUAUCAUUAACUGAAUCCAUAGGUUAAUGAGGCGAACCGGGGGAACUGAAACAUCUAAGUACCCCGAGGAAAAGAAAUCAACCGAGAUUCCCCCAGUAGCGGCGAGCGAACGGGGAGGAGCCCAGAGCCUGAAUCAGCAUGUGUGUUAGUGGAAGCGUCUGGAAAGGCGCGCGAUACAGGGUGACAGCCCCGUACACAAAAGCGCAUGUGCUGUGAGCUCGAUGAGUAGGGCGGGACACGUGGUAUCCUGUCUGAAUAUGGGGGGACCAUCCUCCAAGGCUAAAUACUCCUGACUGACCGAUAGUGAACCAGUACCGUGAGGGAAAGGCGAAAAGAACCCCGGCGAGGGGAGUGAAAAAGAACCUGAAACCGUGUACGUACAAGCAGUGGGAGCACAGGUUUACCUGUGUGACUGCGUACCUUUUGUAUAAUGGGUCAGCGACUUAUAUUCUGUAGCAAGGUUAACCGAAUAGGGGAGCCGGAGGGAAACCGAGUCUUAAUUGGGCGUUAAGUUGCAGGGUAUAGACCCGAAACCCGGUGAUCUAGCCAUGGGCAGGUUGAAGGUUGGGUAACACUAACUGGAGGACCGAACCGACUAAUGUUGAAAAAUUAGCGGAUGACCUGUGGCUGGGGGUGAAAGGCCAAUCAAACCGGGAGAUAGCUGGUUCUCCCCGAAAGCUAUUUAGGUAGCGCCUCGUGAAUUCAUCUCCGGGGGUAGAGCACUGUUUCGGCUAGGGGGCCAUCCCGGCUUACCAACCCGAUGCAAACUGCGAAUACCGGAGAAUGUUAUCACGGGAGACACACGGCGGGUGCUAACGUCCGUCGUGAAGAGGGAAACAACCCAGACCGCCAGCUAAGGUCCCAAAGUCAUGGUUAAGUGGGAAACGAUGUGGGAAGGCCCAGACAGCCAGGAUGUUGGCUUAGAAGCAGCCAUCAUUUAAAGAAAGCGUAAUAGCUCACUGGUCGAGUCGGCCUGCGCGGAAGAUGUAACGGGGCUAAACCAUGCACCGAAGCUGCGGCAGCGAACGUAUCACUUAAAGCGAUUCAGCGGGUUACGAUUGACGGAGCGAAGCGACGUCAAAGCGUAUACAAAGUCGAGUCGGUUUAAGGAUACGUUCGUUGGGUAGGGGAGCGUUCUGUAAGCCUGUGAAGGUGUGUCGUGAGGCAUGCUGGAGGUAUCAGAAGUGCGAAUGCUGACAUAAGUAACGAUAAAGCGGGUGAAAAGCCCGCUCGCCGGAAGACCAAGGGUUCCUGUCCAACGUUAAUCGGGGCAGGGUGAGUCGACCCCUAAGGCGAGGCCGAAAGGCGUAGUCGAUGGGAAACGGGUUAAUAUUCCCGUACUUGGUGUUACUGCGAAGGGGGGACGGAGAAGGCUAUGUUGGCCGGGCGACGGUUGUCCCGGUUUAAGCGUGUAGGUGUGUGUUCCAGGUAAAUCCGGUUCACUUUAACACUGAGGCGUGAUGACGAGGCACUACGGUGCUGAAGCAACAAAUGCCCUGCUUCCAGGAAAAGCCUCUAAGCAUCAGGUAACAUCAAAUCGUACCCCAAACCGACACAGGUGGUCAGGUAGAGAAUACCAAGGCGCUUGAGAGAACUCGGGUGAAGGAACUAGGCAAAAUGGUGCCGUAACUUCGGGAGAAGGCACGCUGACACGUAGGUGAAGUGAUUUACUCAUGGAGCUGAAGUCAGUCGAAGAUACCAGCUGGCUGCAACUGUUUAUUAAAAACACAGCACUGUGCAAACACGAAAGUGGACGUAUACGGUGUGACGCCUGCCCGGUGCCGGAAGGUUAAUUGAUGGGGUCAGCGCAAGCGAAGCUCCUGAUCGAAGCCCCGGUAAACGGCGGCCGUAACUAUAACGGUCCUAAGGUAGCGAAAUUCCUUGUCGGGUAAGUUCCGACCUGCACGAAUGGCGUAAUGAUGGCCAGGCUGUCUCCACCCGAGACUCAGUGAAAUUGAACUCGCUGUGAAGAUGCAGUGUACCCGCGGCAAGACGGAAAGACCCCGUGAACCUUUACUAUAGCUUGACACUGAACAUUGAGCCUUGAUGUGUAGGAUAGGUGGGAGGCUUUGAAGCGUGGACGCCAGUCUGCGUGGAGCCGACCUUGAAAUACCACCCUUUAAUGUUUGAUGUUCUAACGUGGACCCGUAAUCCGGGUUGCGGACAGUGUCUGGUGGGUAGUUUGACUGGGGCGGUCUCCUCCUAAAGAGUAACGGAGGAGCACGAAGGUUGGCUAAUCCUGGUCGGACAUCAGGAGGUUAGUGCAAUGGCAUAAGCCAGCUUGACUGCGAGCGUGACGGCGCGAGCAGGUGCGAAAGCAGGUCAUAGUGAUCCGGUGGUUCUGAAUGGAAGGGCCAUCGCUCAACGGAUAAAAGGUACUCCGGGGAUAACAGGCUGAUACCGCCCAAGAGUUCAUAUCGACGGCGGUGUUUGGCACCUCGAUGUCGGCUCAUCACAUCCUGGGGCUGAAGUAGGUCCCAAGGGUAUGGCUGUUCGCCAUUUAAAGUGGUACGCGAGCUGGGUUUAGAACGUCGUGAGACAGUUCGGUCCCUAUCUGCCGUGGGCGCUGGAGAACUGAGGGGGGCUGCUCCUAGUACGAGAGGACCGGAGUGGACGCAUCACUGGUGUUCGGGUUGUCAUGCCAAUGGCACUGCCCGGUAGCUAAAUGCGGAAGAGAUAAGUGCUGAAAGCAUCUAAGCACGAAACUUGCCCCGAGAUGAGUUCUCCCUGAGACUUAGAGUCUCCUGAAGGAACGUUGAAGACGACGACGUUGAUAGGCCGGGUGUGUAAGCGCAGCGAUGCGUUGAGCUAACCGGUACUAAUGAACCGUGAGGCUUAACCUU
rnacentral:rRNA from 1 species